UCCUGGCUCAGGAUGAACGCUAGCUACAGGCUUAACACAUGCAAGUCGAGGGGCAGCAUUGGAGUAGCAAUACUCAGAUGGCGACCGGCGCACGGGUGAGUAACACGUAUCCAACCUGCCGCUUACUCGGGGAUAGCCUUUCGAAAGAAAGAUUAAUACCCGAUGGUAUAAAGAGUUCGCAUGUUCUCUUUAUUAAAGAAUUUCGGUAAGCGAUGGGGAUGCGUUCCAUUAGAUUGUUGGCGGGGUAACGGCCCACCAAGUCUACGAUGGAUAGGGGUUCUGAGAGGAAGGUCCCCCACAUUGGAACUGAGACACGGUCCAAACUCCUACGGGAGGCAGCAGUGAGGAAUAUUGGUCAAUGGACGAGAGUCUGAACCAGCCAAAAGUAGCGUGAAGGAUGACUGCCCUAUGGGUUGUAAACUUCUUUUAUAAGGGAAUAAAGUGAGGGACGUGUCCCUUUUUGUAUGUACCUUAUGAAUAAGGAUCGGCUAACUCCGUGCCAGCCGCCGC
rnacentral:rRNA from 1 species